rnacentral:rRNA from 1 species
CCUACGGGUGGCAGCAGUGAGGAAUAUUGGUCAAUGGUCGAGAGUCUGAACCAGCCAAGCCGCGUGAGGGAUGACUGCCCUAUGUGUUGUAAACUUCUUUUGUCAGGGAAUAAAGCCGGGUACGUGUACCCGCUUGACUGUACCAUAUGAAUAAGCAUCGGCUAACUCCGUGCCAGCAGCCGCGGUAAUUCGGAGGAUCCGAGCGUUAUCCGGAUUUAUUGGGUUUAAAGGGUGCGGAGGGGGGUUGGUCAAGCAGGUGUUAAAGGGUGGGGGUUAAACCGGACCGCGCAGUUGAAACUGGCAGUCUUGAGUAGAGGAGAGGUAUGCGGAAUUCGGGGUGUAGCGGUGAAAUGCAUAGAUAUCACGAAGAACUCCGAUUGCGAAGGCAGCAUACCGGAACGAAACUGACACUGAGGCACGAAAGCGUGGGUAUCAAACAGGAUUAGAUACCCGGGUAGUC